rnacentral:rRNA from 1 species
AGUGAACGCUGGCGGUAGGCCUAACACAUGCAAGUCGAACGGCCGCACAGUAAGCGCUUGCUCUUACGGGUGGCGAGUGGCGGACGGGUGAGGCAUACAUCGCAAUCUUCUUUUUCGUGGGGGAUAACGUAGGGCAACUUACGCUACUACCGCAUACGACCUACGGGUGAAAGCAGUGGAUCUUCGCACCUUGCGCGAUUGAAUGAGCCGAUGUCGCAUUAGCUAGUUGGCGAGGUAAAGGCCCACCAAGGCGACGAUCCGUAGCUGGUCUGAGAGGAUGAUCAGCCACACUGGAACUGAGACACGGUCCAGACUCCUACGGGAGGCAGCAGUGGGGAAUAUUGGACAAUGGGCGCAAGCCUGAUGCAGCCAUGCCGCGUGGGUGAAGAAGGCCCUCGGGUCGUAAAGCCCUUUUGUUGGGAAAGAAAAGCAGCAGGUGAAUACCCCGCUGUUCUGACGGUACCCAAAGAGUAAGCACCGGCUAACUUCGUG